GACGAACGCUGGCGGCGUGCCUUACACAUGCAAGUCGAACGGCAGCAUGGAGAGCUUGCUCUCUGAUGGCGAGUGGCGAACGGGUGAGUAAUGCAUCGGAACGUACCGUGUAAUGGGGGAUAACGUAGCGAAAGUUACGCUAAUACCGCAUACGACCUGAGGGUGAAAGCAGGGGAUCGCAAGACCUUGCGUUAUACGAGCGGCCGAUGUCAGAUUAGCUAGUUGGUGAGGUAAAGGCUCACCAAGGCGACGAUCUGUAGCGGGUCUGAGAGGAGGAUCGGCCACACUGGGACUGAGACACGGCCCAGACUCCUACGGGAGGCAGCAGUGGGGAAUUUUGGACAAUGGGGGCAACCCUGAUCCAGCCAGGCCGCGUGAGUGAAGAAGGCCUUCGGGUUGUAAAGCUCUUUCGGCCGGGAAGAAAUCGCACAGGCUAAUACUCUGUGUGGAUGACGGUACCGGCAUAAGAAGCACCGGCUAACUACGUGCCAGCCGCCGCAGUAA
rnacentral:rRNA from 1 species